CGGCGGACGGGUGAGUAACACGUGGGUAACCUACCUAUAAGACUGGGACAACUUCGGGAAACCGGAGCUAAUACCGGAUAAGAUAUCGAACCGCAUGGUUCGAUAGUGAAAGAUGGUUUUGCUAUCACUUAUAGAUGGACCCGCGCCGUAUUAGCUAGUUGGUGAGGUAACGGCUCACAAAGGCAACGAUACGUAGCCGACCUGAGAGGGUGAUCGGCCACACUGGAACUGAGACACGGUCCAGACUCCUACGGGAGGCAGCAGGC
rnacentral:rRNA from 1 species